UCUCUGCAGCUCAAGGUCUGGUGCUCUGGCAAUGGAUAUGAUGACUUUGAUCUGGGGGGGCCCAGAGUGCCCCAGGCCUCAUUCUUGGCCUAGGGGACGACCCUGUGCCUGGGGCAAUGAACUUCAUUCCAGUUUCCCCCAGGAAAGCCCCAGGACCAGUCUUCCCCUUCCUGCCUGUAGUCAAGGGUCAGCGUCUCACACCGUCACUCUGCAUCCAUGCCCUAACUGCUCUGUGGGGUCUUUUCUUCCCUUUUUACUGCCC
rnacentral:lncRNA from 1 species